rnacentral:rRNA from 1 species
AACGAACGCUGGCGGCAGGCCUAACACAUGCAAGUCGAACGCUCCGCAAGGGGAGUGGCGCACGGGUGAGUAACACGUGGGAACCUACCUUCUGGUACGGAACAACCAAGGGAAACUUUGGCUAAGACCGUAUACGACCUCCGGGUGAAAGAUUGAUCGCCGGAAGAGGGGCCCGCGUCCGAUUAGGUAGUUGGUGAGGUAACGGCUCACCAAGCCUUCAAUCGGUAGCUGGUCUGAGAGGAUGACCAGCCACACUGGGACUGAGACACGGCCCAGACUCCUACGGGAGGCAGCAGUGGGGAAUAUUGGACAAUGGGCGCAAGCCUGAUCCAGCCAUGCCGCGUGAGUGAUGAAGGCCUUCGGUUG